rnacentral:misc_RNA from 1 species
UCCUGGUUAACCCAGGCAGUCUCACUAGAGUCCCCACCUUAAAUGUUGGCAACUAAUGAUAAGGGUUGCGCUCGUUGCUGGACUUAACCAAACACCUCACGGCACGAGCUGACGACAGCCAUGCAGCACCUAUAUAAGUGUCCUUGCGGAAAAUACCAUCUCUGAUAUCGUCACCUACAUUUCGAGCCUGGGUAAGGUUCUUCGCGUUGCAUCGAAUUAAACCACAUGCUCCACUGCUUGUGCGGGCCCCCGUCAAUUCUUUUGAGUUUCACCCUUGCGAGCGUACUCCUCAGGCGGUAUACUUAUCGCGUUAGCUUCGACACAAUCAGGGUUGAGCCCAAUUACAUCAAGUAUACAUCGUUUACGGCAAGGACUAC